rnacentral:rRNA from 1 species
AGUGCUAACCACUGUUUAAAACCAAAUACUGAAUUUGUGAUUGCUAGUAACUGGCAAUCUUAACCAAAGAUAACUCUCAACAACGGAUAUCUUGGCUCUCGCAACGAUGAAGAACGCAGCGAAAUGCGAUACGUAGUGUGAAUUGCAGAAUUCCGUGAACCAUCGAAUCUUUGAACGCAUAUUGCGCUCGAGCCUCCGGGCAAGAGCAUGUCUGCCUCAGCGUCGGUUUACACCCUCACCCCUCCCACUUUGUUGGGUUGCUUGGCAACUUUGCCAGCAUAGGUGGUGGAUCUGGCUUCCCCAAUCUGCCGUCUGGUAGAUUGGGUUGGCUGAAGAGUAGAGGUUUAAGCAAGGACCCGUUAUGGGCUUCAACUGGAUAGGUAGCACCGGCUUGUGCCGACUACACGAAGUUGAUGCUCGUGGAUCUUGCUAGAGGCCAAGCAGGAACGUGCCCAUGGCACGUCUAAACUUUCGACCUGAGCUCAGGCAAGGCUACCCGCUGAACUUAAGCAUAUCAAUAAGCGGAGGAA